GACGAACGCUGGCGGUGUGCUUAACACAUGCAAGUCGAACGGUGAAGCGCCUUCCUUUUUGGUGGGUGUGGAUGAGUGGCGAACGGGUGAGUAACACGUGAGUAACCUGCCCCCUUCUUCUGGAUAACCGCAUGAAAGUGUGGCUAAUACGGGAUAUUCUGGGUCUGUCGCAUGAUGGGUCUGGGAAAGAUAUUGUUUCGGUGGGGGAUGGGCUCGCGGCCUAUCAGCUUGUUGGUGGGGUGAUGGCCUACCAAGGCGGUGACGGGUAGCCGGCCUGAGAGGGUGGACGGUCACACGGGGACUGAGACACGGCCCAGACUCCUACGGGAGACAGCAGUGGGGAAUAUUGCACAAUGGGCGCAAGCCUGAUGCAGCGACGCCGCGUGAGGGAUGGAGGCCUUCGGGUUGUGAACCUCUUUCGCCAGUGAAGCAGGCCUGCCUCGUUUGUGGGUGGGUUGACGGUAGCUGGAUAAGAAGCGCCGGCUAACUACGUG
rnacentral:rRNA from 1 species